rnacentral:rRNA from 1 species
CACGAAACCAGGCGAGCUACUACAAAACGUAUAAUAGUACAAAAUAUGUGGCAUAAUAAUAGUAGAUUUUGCAGUAGGGGUGAUAGGCUAUCCAAGUUUGGUGAUAUCUUGUUGACCUUGAAAUAUAUUGAGUAUAUUUUCAGUUUACUAGUGAUAAGGCUGGUAGAGAAUAUGUAAUUCGAUUUAUUCAUGUAAGCAAAGUUUAACCGCUCACUGGUUGUUAAAUCCAAUAUUUAUGUCUGUCUUUAAUAAAUCAUAAAGGUCAGUAUUUAAUUAAUCUUAAUAUUUAUAUUGUAGGCAUAAGUAGCUUAGGCACUGUUGAUGAACUCGGCAACAUUUCUUUCACCUGUUUAUCAAAAACACCGCCAGUAGGAGGUAUUAUUGGUUAAUUCUGCUCCAUGUAAUCAUAAAUAGCCGCAGUACCCUGACUGUGCAAAGGUAGCAUAAUCAUUUGGCUUAUAAUUGAAGUCUGGCAUGAAAGAAUACAUGGGGGAAAACUCUAUUGACAGCGCUAUUACGAAAUUGCUUAGUGGGUGCAAAUACCCAUCUUUAAAUAAUAGACGAGAAGACCCUUGAAAUUUUAAUGAUGUGUUUAGGAGAGUUUUUGUUGGGGCAACAACGUAACAUUUAACCUACGGUUAUUUACACGACAUUCUGUGGAAAGAUUAAAUUACUCUAGGGAUAACAGCGUAAUUCUUAAGAGUUUGCGACCUCGAUGUUGGACUAGGAAGCAAUUGUUUAGAA